UACGGGGGGGGCAAGCGUUGCUCGGAAUCACUGGGCGUAAAGCGCACGUAGGCGGCUUUUUAAGUCAGAGGUGAAAUCCUGGAGCUCAACUCCAGAACUGCCUUUGAUACUGAGAGGCUUGAGUCCGGGAGAGGUGAGUGGAACUGCGAGUGUAGAGGUGAAAUUCGUAGAUAUUCGCAAGAACACCAGUGGCGAAGGCGGCUCACUGGCCCGGUACUGACGCUGAGGUGCGAAAGCGUGGGGAGCAAACAGG
rnacentral:rRNA from 1 species